ensembl:lincRNA
CUUGGCGGGAGCGCGAGGGGCGGGGCGUCCGCCGCGCUUGCGCACUAGAAGGGCGUUGGUGCGGAAGGCCCGUGGUUGUUUCUCCAUCUUUGAUCGCUGACUCGCCCCGUCGGGCGGAAAUGGAAGUGGUGUCGGAAGUCCUAUAAUUCUGGAGAAUAAUAUUUUAAAAGAUCAAAGGAAGGAACCUGUAGAAACAGCUCUGGAGAUAUCUAAAUCUUGAUGGUGUACCAAACCAAAUGUCAACUGUAGCUCUGUCCAACCCUAAGGUGCUGUUUGACAAUCAAAGCAAAGAAAGCAAAGAAAAUGGCUUCCAGUCCCUUUUCCUGGGCUCAGUGCAACUCCACAGUCCAGAAGCACUGGUUACAGCAAAGGCUUCCAGCAGGGGAGGAGUUUCCUGCUACAAACCCUCAGGAGUUGUCUUGGAACGGGGGAGGAAGGCUCAUUCCGUGCUGCACAGCUGGAGACACACUGAAAGGAGAUGUCAGGGAGUCCUAGGAGGAAAUUGGAGUAGAUAUUAGCCACGUGACUUACUCUCCUAAGAUAGAAGUGUUUGAAGUAGAGAGACGCCUGCAGGACCAAACAGGAGGAGAAGGAAGAGGAAGGAAACCCCAGACCUUGUUAUCAGGAAGGGGGUGUGUGGUUUCUCACAGCUGCUCUGGGCUCCUUUCCUAAUGGCCAUCUAUCUGGAAAUCACAGGGUCACUAAUACAGUUCAAGAGAUUAUGCUACUAAAUUCACUGAAAACAACAAAGUGUAAAUGCAGUUGGACGUGAAAUACCACACUCCAUUAAAGUACUGACUACAGACUGGGGUGUGGGGGAGAUCAGAACCAGUUAGAGCAGAGUGCCCCCAAACCUCUCUAACUGAUUUACAUUGUAUAACAAGGUGAAGCUUAGUAGACAGGUGGCCAGCUGUCAUCUGACCUUGGUCAAGAGCAAAAUCGAGCAUGUGAAAAGGAAUUUAACAUAAAACUCUCCAGAGAGCUAAAUGGCAAAGGAAGUUUCUUCAUGAGGAAAAUGUUAGUGGUUUUCCUUUCUGAGUUCUUUUGUCCUUUUUAAAACACUGCUCAUCUUUGGGAAGACCCUGUUAGAAUAUUUUUACCCGUUUAUCAGAACACUGCUCUCUUAGGCUGAAUGUAAUGGAAAUCCGCUCUUUGGUGGCACUGAUUAAGUGUUUAAGGCAGAGAGCGUCUUCAAGCUUAAAAUGCAGCCUGACAUCUUUACCAAUAUACAUGCUUUAUUGGAAGUAAAUUUUAAGAAGAACCAGAGAGAGCUGGAAUCAUUCCUUCUUUUAUGUAUGGCAUAUGCUUUAUAAAAGAAAAAUGGUUGGAAAUUGAGCCGUUUGGCGUAGAUCAUCUCUGACCUAACGAAAAGUGUGCUUUUCUCUCAGUCUUGAUGUGUUAUCACCAUGGUGUCAGGAGAGUGGCAAAUGUGCCUGCUGUUACUGCUGUCAUCAAUCAGACAGCUGUGUGCCAGUUCCAAUAUACUUUUAAAGCAGACCGGAUGGCCAGAAACUUAAAUAGUAUCCUGUAUCAGACACCAGCAAACCUUUUAUUGUAAUCACUAUAAGUCCUUCAUGGAAAAUAGAUUUUCAGGAGCUGGAGAGAUGGCUCAGUGGUUAGAAAACUGGCUGCUCUUGCAGAGGACCUGGGUUCAAUUCCCAGCACCUACAUGGUGGCUCACAACCAUCUGUAAUUCCAGUCCCAGGGGAUCUGUCUCUCUUUUAUGAACUACAUGAGCAAUGUAUGCAUGUGCUGCACAUACAUAAACACAGGUUUAACACCCAUACACAUGAAUAGAAAU